rnacentral:rRNA from 1 species
AUGACACUCCUAAGUUGGAACUGUCGGGGCCUAGGGCAACCCCGCACGGUUCAUGAACUCGUGCAAAUAGUGCACAAGCAUAGGCCCAAAUUAGUUUUUAUCUCGGAAACAAGGCAAAGCAGUGAGGUGAAUAAUUUAAGGUGGAGGCUUGGCCUCAAGCAUUGUAUUGUGCAGCCGGGCUCCGGUAAAGGUGCCGGCAUUGCACUCUUCUAUGAUGAGAGUGUUGAAAUAAAAGAACUUGGCGUUGGCCUGAGGUACAUCGAUGUGUUGAUCCGCCUGUGUCCAAAUGGGGUUUAA